rnacentral:lncRNA from 1 species
UAGGGGUGCUACAAGUUGACCACUGCAGCAGUAAAGAUGACUCUGAAGAAUGGCAUGGGAUGGAUCCUUUCGAAUGCACUUGAGCAGCGGUCUCCAACCACAGGGCCACAGAGCUGGAGCUGGAUCUACCAUGAAAGACUUCUGAAUCCAGGAAGAGAGACUGACUGGGCAACAUGUUAUUCAGGGUCUCCCUCUGUUGUCCAAGGCUGGAGUGUAGUAGCGCUAUCGCAGCUGACUGCAGCCUCAACCUUCCAGGCUGAAGCGAUCCUCCUACCUCAGCCUCCCACGUGGCUGAGACUACAGGUGCUUGCCACUAUGCCAACUAAUAUUUGGAAUUUUCGUAUACGUGGAUUCCAGAGGGGUGACAGCGUAAUGUGGGACCAUCCAGUUUCAGGAAAACAAGCUUAACACGCCCACUGAUUCUACAUUAUGCUCCUACCUCCCGGCAGCCUCUCCAGGCCCAGAACUUUCUCCAGUCACCCUCUACAGACCAAGCUCAUGACUCACAAUGGCCUAUUUAGGCCCAUACCCUACCUCACGGCAGUCUCUGCAGAUGAGGCUACUGCCUCACAACAGCCUCCACAGGCACAGCUCCAUCGUUACAAUGGCCUCUUUAGACCCAGCUCCUGCCUCCCAGCCUUCUCUCCAGGCCCUGAACUUUGUCAAGUCGACCUCACCAGGCCCAGCUCAUGCUUCUUUGCAGCCUCCUCAGGCCCAGCUCCUGCAUCUUGGUGGCCCCUCCAGGCCCAGCCUCUGCCUCCCGUCGGCCUCUACAGUCCCAACAUCUGCCUCACAGCAGAUUCUUCACGCCCAGCAAUCUGCCUCACUGUGGACCCCCCAAGCCAAGCUCCCAACCUUUCAGCAGCUUCUACACACCCAGCUCCUGCCACCCAGUGGCCUCUUUAGGCCAAGCUCAUGCUUCACAAGGGCCUUUCCAGGCCCAACUUUUGUCUCAUGGCAACCUUCCCUGGCCAGAUUCCUGGCCCUGUCUCCAGCAGCCUAGACAGGCCCAGGUCUUGCCUCACACUGGCCUCUCUACAUCCAGCUUAUGCCUCACGGUGGCCUCU